rnacentral:rRNA from 1 species
UACGGGGGGAGCAAGCGUUGUUCGGAUUUACUGGGCGUAAAGGGCGCGUAGGCGGUCACGCACGUCCGUUGUGAAAUCGCUCGGCUCAACUGGGCGGGGUCAGCGGAUACGGUGUGGCUGGAGCAAGCUAGGGGGCAAUGGAAUUCCCGGUGUAGUGGUGGAAUGCGUAGAUAUCGGGGAGGAACACCAGUGGCGAAGGCGGUUGCCUGGAGCUUUGCUGACGCUGAUGCGCGAAAGCGUGGGGAGCGAUCCGG